AUGUGUCGCACUAUCAGCAACAUGCUGCUCGUACUUUUCACCGUGGUGCUUAUUCUACCGGCAUUUCAAGGCGUGGGAUUUUUGUCUGGGAGUGGAAGUAUUUAUCACUGCGCGAAUGCAGUUAAUCCGCCGGCGAAAAUAUUGUGUGAACUCAACGGCUCUAAUGAUGUUUUUACUUCUCGCCUUCCAUCAUGCAACGUGACAUGCAGUGGUCCAAGACAGACGCUGCGGAUGCCACCUGA